rnacentral:lncRNA from 1 species
AGUCUGCUUAUAACACACAAACAAUUAUAAUUUGUAACGUCUUUAUUGAACACACCGUGUAAACACUGAUACGUUCAGACAAGAGUGCUCUGAAAUCCGUGUAGAUAGUAGGCUGGACACAUUACAUUUUUAACAACGUUUUAACAACGUUCUUUUCUGAUAAAAACGAGUUCUUUGCAUCAGCCGUGGAGCCCAGUUUCAUAAUUUGACCAUAUUUCCCAGCUGCUUGUGGUCGUUUUGAAGUAAUUGCGAAAUAACAGGCCUUUAUUUUAGUGCAUUUUACACCAUGCCAGCUCCUAUUAGUUCUAUUGACCACAAUGGUACCAACUCGCCUUCCGAACAUUCUAUUCCCAGCUUUUUGUUCAACGUCACAAUGCCUGCUUCGCUAUUGUUGGCAAUGAGACCUGCUCACAUUGUUGUAUAGUUACAUUUUAAACAACUAAAAUAUUAUUGGAACUCUGCGGUCUUCCCAUUGUUUCCUAUGUUGGAAAUAUGGGCAUGUCUGCUAAUUUCGCCAAAUAUCUCGCAAUGUGUAUAUUUUGAUUUUUUUCAAGUCAGGUGUAACCGAUGUAAAAUGGCUAGCUAGUCAGCGGGGUGCGCGCUAAUAGCGUUUCGAUUGAGACCUUUGAGACCUUUUAUUUUUUAUUUAUUUAUUUCACCAUUAUUUAACCAGGUAGGCAAGUUGAGAACAAGUUCUCAUUUACAACUGCGACCUGGCCAAGAUAAAGCAAAGCAGUUCGACACAUAUAACAACACAGAGUUACACAUGGAGUAAAACAAACAUACAGUCAAUAAUACAGUAGAAAAAUAAGUCUAUAUACAAUGUGAGCAAAUGAGGUGAGAUACAUUUACAUUUUAGUCAUUUAGCAGACGCUCUUAUCCAGAGCGACUUACAGAGAUAAGGGAGGUAAAGGCAAUAAAUAGGCCAUGGUGGCGAAGUAAAUACAAUAUAGCAAUUAAAACACUGGAAUGGUAGAUUUGACAGUAGAUGAGUGUGCAAAGUAGAAAUACUGGGGUGCAAAGGAGCUAAAUAAAUAUAUACAGUAGGGGAAGGUGUAGUUGUUUGGGCUAUUUAUAGAUGGGAUAUGUACAAGUGCAGUGAUCUGUGAGCUGCUCUGACAGCUGGUGCUUAAAGCUAGUGUGGGAGAUAAGUGUUUCCAGUUUCAGAUAUUUUUGUAGUUCGUUCCAGUCAUUGGCAGCAGAGAACUGGAAGGAGUGGUGGCCAAAGGAGGAAUUGGCUACCUUGAAUUUCUACCUUGAAGUAGAGCCGUGGCUUUCGUGGAGCGAUGGGUAAUACUGCUUCGAGGGUGGCUGUUGUCAAUGUGUGCAGAGGGUCCCUGGGGCGAGGAGAGGGACGGAAGCAAACCAUUUUAAUCAGGAGAAUCUCCUCUUUGUAAUCAUGUAAGUCUGGGCAGCGAGCUCGCUAGAUCAGAAAUAGUCUGAAGUUUUUUUAUUUUUUCCCUAAUUUUUCAUUACGCAGACAUAAGCACAGUUGACACAAUCGAGGUGCGGAUGUUUACUUUCUACACAAGUUUUUUUUCUUCCAGUUUCGUCCGACGAACAGAUUGUAGUGGUAAAAUAAAAAGGGAUACAUUUUUUUAUGGAAUUCUAAGCAUCACUCCAGUCAAAACAGGCUCUGCGAACGUUCGAUUCCAUUAAUUUGCUAUGGGCUCGCGCUAGUGUUCCAGUUUAGCCAACGUUCUUAAGCCGUUUUUCAGCCUCGGUGAAUUUUGACUCGUUGCUGGACAAUUUAUGAAAGCACCCGAAUGUCCAUUGAGAAAGCACAACGACUAUACCAUUUAGCUAAGCAUGACAAGAAUAAUCAAGUCAAUAAACAUUGGGUAGUUAGAUAGCCUAUAGUUAAUAUACUGGCCAGUUUGAUGUAUAACUACUGUUAGGUAGCUAGCUAACAUACCAGUACAUACUGCUGUAAUGAUAUGCUAUGUGGUUCGUAAGGACAGCGUAGCUAACAAAUUGCCAGCCAACAUAAAAUGUAAGGUAAGUUAUUUGAAAAGUCAUUACUUUUUUACAUUGAGUAGCAAGCUACCCCUUGGUCUUUAGGGCAAAUCUGGUCUAGGAGGGGGGUUUUCACACCUAGCUCGGCUAGUAGACUAUUCAUUAGUGAAGGUUGAAUAGUCUAUUGUUCAGCUAUUAGCCCCCCUCCACGCGUCAUCAUUCUGCUCCUGAGUGGCUCGCUUGUGGGUGUGCUGGCAGGAUAUGGCAGCAAUUUUGGUUGUGCGUCAAUAAUUCUGCAUACAGUAGCACGUUUGCAGAAUUGUUACAUGCUGUGGAGGUACAUUUGUGUCUUUUUGUCGAGAGCAAAACUUUUUUUUUUUAAAUCAAAAAUAAUUGUUCUGAAAGUAACUUUUUUCCGACACAAAGGAAGUCAAAGCGGACACCUACGAGAUGGCAUCUCUAAGCAGCACUGGGCUGUAUUGACAUAUCCUAAAAAUGACUUCUGCUGCUUUAGAUUGAACGGUCAUAUUUCAGGUAUUGUUUUCAUAUCUAUAAAAAUAAGCUGUUUUCUUUACUUUCAGAGAGCGAGCUGAUCAAGGGGUCGAAAAUGUAGAUAUUGCCAGAUGUUCACUGUCCGAGGAUCAGGCCGUGGAAGCUUUUUUGCUGGCAAAGUGUCCAUAACCAGAGGUUAUACCAGCUGUUUUGGUGAACCCCUCCCGCCUCUGAACUGGCUGACACAGAGGCCACAGCAUGUCACUUGGUCAGGUCAACAGGAAGCAUUAUUAAAGAGAUGCUUUACAUUGAAAUACAGACAGAGAUGUAGUAGUCCCAGAGUGACUGACCUUGUUAGAAUAAAACAAAACAAGGCUUAGUCAUGCACUCUCUCUAUCCAUCAGUCACUCGUCUGCAGGUAUGUUUUGAUGUGAGAGAGGAAGCCAGUCCCAUCAUCGCCACCUCACCCGCUCUUAAGAUAACCUUCGGGCCAACUGGGGGCCCAAGGCUGGUUAGGAGACACAGCUGAGAGAAUAUUAGGGUAGCACUGUAAUUCAUUAAUCAUAUGCUGUCUGCUGCUGUUCUAACCUCUUUCCCUUUCUGUCUUCUACACCUUUCUCCCCACCUCAUCUUUCUUCCUCAUUUUAUAAUGUGCAUUGAAGUACAGAUUGAACUUGUAUUUAUAAUACUACAAUUAUCAU